rnacentral:rRNA from 1 species
AGAGUUUGAUCCUGGCUCAGGACGAACGCUGGCGGCGUGCCUAAUACAUGCAAGUCGAGCGGGGUCACCACAGGUGGCAACACCGGUGGUGACCGAGCGGCGAACGGGUGAGUAACACGUGAGGAACCUGCCCCGAAGACCGGGAUACGCCGGGGAAACCUGGUCUAAUACCGGAUGCCCUCCUUGGAUCGCAUAGUCCGAGGAGGAAAUGGAUUCCGCUUCGGGAGGGCCUCGCGGCCUAUCAGCUUGUUGGUGAGGUAACGGCUCACCAAGGCAGCGACGGGUAGCUGGUCUGAGAGGACGAUCAGCCACACUGGGACUGAGACACGGCCCAGACUCCUACGGGAGGCAGCAGUAGGGAAUCUUGCGCAAUGGGCGAAAGCCUGACGCAGCAACGCCGCGUGGGGGAUGAAGGCUCUCGGGUUGUAAACCCCUUUCAGCAGGGACGAACACUGACGGUACCUGCAGAAGAAGCCCCGGCCAACUACGUGCCAGCAGCCGCGGUAAUACGUAGGGGGCAAGCGUUGUCCGGAUUUAUUGGGCGUAAAGAGCUCGUAGGCGGCUCGGUAAGUCGGAUGUGAAACCUCCAGGCUCAACCUGGAGACGCCAUCUGAUACUGCCGUGGCUCGAGGCCGGUAGAGGAGCAGGGAAUUCCUGGUGUAGCGGUGAAAUGCGCAGAUAUCAGGAGGAACACCAGCGGCGAAGGCGCUGCUCUGGGCCGGUACUGACGCUGAGGAGCGAAAGCGUGGGGAGCGAACAGGAUUAGAUACCCUGGUAGUCCACGCCGUAAACGUUGGGCACUAGGUGUGGGACCCCAUCGACGGGUUCUGUGCCGUAGCUAACGCAUUAAGUGCCCCGCCUGGGGAGUACGGGCCGCAAGGCUAAAACUCAAAGGAAUUGACGG